rnacentral:misc_RNA from 1 species
GAUGAAGAACGCAGCGAAAUGCGAUAAGUAAUGUGAAUUGCAGAAUUCAGUGAAUCAUCGAAUCUUUGAACGCACAUUGCGCCCGCCAGUAUUCUGGCGGGCAUGCCUGUUCGAGCGUCAUUACAACCCUCAGGCCCCCGGGCCUGGCGUUGGGGAUCGGCGGAGCCCCCCGUGGGCACACGCCGUCCCCCAAAUGCAGUGGCGGUCCCGCCGCAGCUUCCAUCGCGUAGUAGCUAACACCUCGCGACUGGAGAGCGGCGCGGCCACGCCGUAAAACACCCAACUCUUCUGAAGUUGACCUCGAAUCAGGUAGGAAUACCCGCUGAACUUAAGCAUAUCAAUAAGCGGAA